ACCAAACUUGAACCCUAGUCUUCAAUUGUUCUCUCAUCCUCAAAUCUUCAUAUCCUACCAAACUCAUGUUCGUCGCUGCUAACCUCAUUACAAGCACCCUUUCCCCUUUGAAAAAAAGUACUGCUUAUGCUGGAUUCAAGGUCGACAUCGUACUCCUUUGCUCUGUCUCAUCCGUCGCAAUUUACUCGCGAUCUCCUCCUGUGCAGUGUGUGGUUCAAAUAGGAUGCAGCUGCACGAGAGUCCUACCACCAUCACCUCCAGCCUCCAUCGCCAGCACCACGUAUCACAGGUUCAGGUCUUUUAUUCUAUUUUUCAAUCACUGGAGCAGCUAAAAUGAGAUAGGAUGCUUCUGCAAUCCAGUGCAUAUGCAAACUACCUUGGCUUGUCUCAUUUGGAUCUUUUUUGAAAUACAGAGGCUGGACAUGUUUGCUGGGAUGAUCAUGAUGUAAUUAAUGGAAAACCAACUGGAGCUGUAAGAGUAUCCUUUGGCUACAUGUUAGCUUAUGAGGAGGCUAAGGUUAAAAUUCUUUUAUUCAUUUUAAUUUUUUUUUUCAAUCACACUCUCUGUUUUGAAUUAUUGAAAGUUUAAAACUUUUGAUUCUUGGUUCAUUUUCAUUUUUUCUUUUUGAACAAAUACCAACUUAAUAUGGGAGGUGUGCAACAUAGAGUUAUGACUGCUUUUAUGGACCUAAAACAAUCAUUUAUACCAGUAUUUGUGUCUUGCAUAGAUCAAACUAGUCACACCUUUUCUUGCAAUGUUCAAUUGUUAAUUCUUUAUGGAAUAAACCAUUGUUUGCCAAGCGGAUUUAUCUGACCCUUUAGAAGUGUUUCUGAUAAUAACUCUUAGAGGAUAUGCAAGAAGAAAAUAGGAUGAAAUCCUGUAGAACGGUGCACAAAAUUCCAUAGCACAUUUAUGUGGGUAUUUAUUGUGAUAUAUAAUAUUUUCUUGCUUCUCUUUGCUUUGGAGCUCAGCUAAGGUGUUUUAAAGGAGCAUUUGUUAUAUAAGGACCAGGUUGCGAGGGCUCAACCCAGGGCGGAACUAGAUGAAAUAUUAGAGGGGCCAAAAAUAUUUACACAAUAAAAUAAGACUAAAAUAAAAUUUUAAGGGGGACUAAGCUAAAAUUUACAUAUAAUUUACAUGUAAAAAAUUAAAACUUGGGGGACAAUCCACUAUGUGGCUCCGCCACUGCUCAACGCCAUUCUUGAUUAUAUCCUUGGGGUUUUAAUGAUGAACAUAAAUACUUUGAAUACUUUUGCUAAUACACAUAACAAUAAAAGGAUGAAGAAAAUUGUAAUGGUAUUCUGCAUUAUAUAUGAAGUUGGGUUGCAGAUUAAAUAUACAAAGGGAAAACAAGGUAAGUGUAAAAUGCCCCCAAUUAUAUGGCAAUUUGUUUGAGUUUGUAAUCCUAGAAAACAGGAGGGAUUUGAAGAGGAAUUGUUAUGGUUUUGGUUGACAAAAUGGUGUGAAUACUUAAAAGGCUUGGUGGUCAUUAUGCUUGUAAUAUUGCAGUUAAACUUAGCUUUCUAUCUUGCUAUUAUAUGUUAAAUGUUUGCAUGCUUAUUAAGAGUUAGAUGCACCUUACAAAAGCAUCUAUGAAGUUUUUCUUUGAUGUAUAUAUAUUUUUUUAAUUUAGGUGAUUUCAAGCUGAGCUUGCUAGGGACAUGGCAUAUGCUGUUGUAGGAUUUGGGCAUGUAAUAUUGCUUGAGAAUGUUCAUGAACCAACCUUAAAUUGUGCAUUUGUAAACAAAUCAAAUUAUUUUUUGCACAAUUUUAGAAAAAUAACAUUGUUAUGAACAUCUUCAGAAACUACAAGGAAUCUUUAGAAGAAGUUAUUGUCUUAUUGAGCAGGUACAUUUUUAGGCAUAAUUUUUAUGGCCUUUUUUCAUAUAAUAGAGGAAAACUGAUGUAAUCUUAGGAUACUUGGAGAGAUGCAUUUAACCAUGAAAAUGGGCUAUUGUUUUUCCUGAAUAAAACAACAUGAAACGUGCAAGUACUAUAUCAAAAUGUUUUUUCACAUAAACAAUUUAUUCUACCGUAUUUGCAUGUGUUUCAAUGGCAAAUCAAAUUAUUUUUUGCACAUAAACAAAAUGUUAGAUUCAUAGGCCUGCAAGUUACAAAUGAUUUCAAUCUAUAUCUGUUAACAUAUUUAAUGAAAUGAAUUAAACAUCCAUUCAAGCGUUCGUUGUAAUUAGAGCUUUGGACGAGGGAAAAAAAGGAAAUUACACUUGGUGGAUUUAUUCUUGACUCAGCUUUUUUUUUUAGAUUUGUAACAUGCUGAGAAAGAAGCACAAGGAAGCAAAAGAAUUAUUAAUUAGAGCCAUUGUGAAUGAUAAUAACUUGCUGAUGCUUAAUCAUCCCAUUUAUGAAGAAGAAAUAUCCUUUGUUCUCUUUUGUCAUUUGCUACUUGUCAAUAAAUUUAUUUAUCAUAAUUAGUCUUGAUAUGUUAUUUGUUUAUUAGGUAUGUUAAAACUAGCUUUUGCUUGCAUUAUAUGAAUUUGAGAUUGGAUUUUGCUAUAUUUUAGCAUUUUGAAGGAUAACCUUAAGGAUGAAAGGUUGUUUUGAGUGUUCCAAUUGGAGAGUGGUGAAGCAUGACAAGAAGGCAUGAAUUUUUUUUAUGCAAUAAUCUGAAGCAUUUGAAAUGCACGAAAUAACAUCAUAUUAAAGGUGGUCGAUUAGGAGAAAAUGACUCAUGACAUUAUUGUUUUUUGUGUGGAAGAUUGGUCAAGAAGGCGUCAUCGACUACAAGCACUUGUGGUGUGUUCAAGGUGAAAAACGAAGAAUUCAGCAGUGCUUUCUUUAGAUUUUUGUAAUGCGUUGAGUUCUGAAAAUUAUGUUUAUAUAGAUGUUUUUGUUGUUGAUGUGUUAAGUUAGUAUUUUGUCUUUUUUUUUUAUUAAUUGUUGCUAUGUAGAUAAAACUUACAACUUUGCUAGUGCAUGUAGAUAUUUCACCUAUAAA